rnacentral:rRNA from 1 species
UACAGAGGUCCCGAGCGUUGUUCGGAUUCAUUGGGCGUAAAGGGUGCGUAGGCGGCGGGGCAAGUCUGAUGUGAAAUCCUGGGGCUCAACCCCAGAACUGCAUUGGAUACUGCCUUGCUAGAGUACUGGAGAGGGAACUGGAAUUUACGGUGUAGCAGUGAAAUGCGUAGAGAUCGUAAGGAAGGCCAGUGGCGAAGGCGAGUUCCUGGACAGUGACUGACGCUGAGGCACGAAGGCCAGGGGAGCAAAUGGG